rnacentral:piRNA from 1 species
UAUUUAAAUGUUCCUAGAACACGUUUUUUC